GAUGAACGCUGGCGGCGUGCCUAAUACAUGCAAGUCGAGCGAACGGACGAGAAGCUUGCUUCUCUGAUGUUAGCGGCGGACGGGUGAGUAACACGUGGAUAACCUACCUAUAAGACUGGGAUAACUUCGGGAAACCGGAGCUAAUACCGGAUAAUAUUUUGAACCGCAUGGUUCAAAAGUGAAAGACGGUCUUGCUGUCACUUAUAGAUGGAUUCGCGCUGCAUUAGCUAGUUGGUAAGGUAACGGCUUACCAAGGCAACGAUGCAUAGCCGACCUGAGAGGGUGAUCGGCAACACUGGAACUGAGACACGGUCCAGACUCCUACGGGAGGCAGCAGUAGGGAAUCUUCCGCAAUGGGCGAAAGCCUGACGGAGCAACGCCGCGUGAGUGAUGAAGGUCUUCGGAUCGUAAAACUCUGUUAUUAGGGAAGAACAUAUGUGUAAGUAACUGUGCACAUCUUGACGGUACCUAAUCAGAAAGCCACGGCUAACUACGUG
rnacentral:rRNA from 1 species